AGCAAUACCGCACUGAUACGGGUAUGGUCCGACGCCUCUUGAAGGAUAAUAUAGGAUCUCCAUACUCUCUACUCCAACUCAAUACGUCCACGGCGUCUCCAAUAAUCUGAGCUUGGGUACACAGGGAAAUGCAACCCCUUGGGAGGAUGGGUCAUAUGGCUGAAUUGAGCGGG
rnacentral:ribozyme from 1 species